CAGGCUCAUGUCAAAACCCUAUCAGUAAGUGGCAAGUGACAAAUAAGCUGUGCCUAGUUGCAGGAAAACAAGCUCAGGACUCCCACUGAUUCUGCAUUAUGGCAGACAAAAGUUCGACAGCAGCUUUUGAUUAUGCUCCACAGUCAUCUAUCCUAUCAUUGGUACUGAAUUUGAGGCUGUCAAAAUAUUAGGAUUCUGUUGCUGAUGAUGCUCCAGUGACAUAAUGGAGUCAAGACAGAGCGAGGGCGAGAGCGAGCGAGAGAUCAGGCCACCGCCGCCGCCGCCGCUGCGGCAGUUGUCAUCGAGACCCGAGGUUGGAAAACUGAGCUCGUUCCCAGUGCCUGUCCGCAAUCGCGAAGAAUAGUCUCCAAAAUCAUUUUAGAUCACGAGCAUCAGGACCAUCAGAGGGACAGAAAAGCUGAAGAUGAGAAAGUAGACAAGCAAAUCCUUGGGCAGGGACAUCCGAAGCCUCCGGCCGGUUGGAACCAUCAGGGGAGAUUUAGGAAACGAGGAAAAACAAAAGCAACUACACGAAUGCAGCAACACCCCACUGGACACCUCUGUCGCCCUCUUCAAGUGACAGCUGUCUAGCCACCGCCACCGCCUCCUGUAAACACUGCUCUUCAGCUGUCAUUCAGUCCAUCUCAUUGGCAACACGUUCAGUUCGCCUAAUGAAAAGGUACAACAAAGAACCAGCAGAUAGGAAAGCUGGAGAAGGGAGGGGGCAGCAGAGCCACGGAUGAUCGCGCUGGCCCUUUUCCCACUCUGGUCUGCAAUGUUCUCCUCGCAGCCUCCGUCUUCCUUUGGUGGCUGUGAAAUCCGUGUGUGCUGGUCUUGCAGCGCCAGCGGAUGAGCACAGAAAAUCUCCAACGACACAGAGAGACUCAGGAGGGAGGGCCUUGGUCAGCUUUCCUCACAGCUGCCAAGAGUGCACAGAAAUACACCACAUAAGUACAGAAGGCAAAAAGCCUUUGAAGGGCUUUCAUGAGCAGGAAAAAUCAACUUACAGGGUUCUCUCUGUGCUCAGAAGUAAGUAUUAAUGGGUUGAAUGGAGGUUACUCCUUGGUGAGCACAUACAGAAUGGCAGUUUUAAUUUCAUGUUUUAAAAACAAAGUA